AUUGAACGCUGGCGGAAUGCUUUACACAUGCAAGUCGAACGGUAGAGGGGGCAACCCCUCGAGAGUGGCGAACGGGUGAGUAAUAUAUCGGAACGUGCCCAGUCGUGGGGGAUAACGUAGCGAAAGUUACGCUAAUACCGCAUACGAUCUAAGGACGAAAGCGGGGGAUCGCAAGACCUCGCGCGAUUGGAGCGGCCGAUAUCAGAUUAGGUAGUUGGUGGGGGAAAGGCUCACCAAGCCAACGGUCUGUAGCUGGGCUGAGAGGACGACCAGACACACUGGAACUUAGACACGGUCCAGACUCCUACGGGAGGCAGCAGUGGGGAAUUUUGGACAAUGGACGCAAGUCUGAUCCAGCCAUUCCGCGUGCAGGAUGAAGGCCCUCGGGUUGUAAACUGCUUUUGUACGGAACGAAAAGGUCUCUCUUAAUACGGGGGGCUCAUGACGGUACCGUAAGAAUAAGCACCGGCUAACUACGUGCCAGCCGCCGCCGCAG
rnacentral:rRNA from 1 species